rnacentral:rRNA from 1 species
UGCCAGCAGCCGCGGUAAUACGGAGGGUGCGAGCGUUAAUCGGAAUUACUGGGCGUAAAGGGCGCGUAGGUGGUUCGAUAAGUCGGAUGUGAAAGCCCCGGGCUUAACCUGGGAAUUGCAUUCGAUACUGUCGGGCUAGAGUAUGGUAGAGGAAAGCGGAAUUCCGGGUGUAGCGGUGAAAUGCGUAGAUAUCAGGAGGAACAUCAGUGGCGAAGGCGGCUUUCUGGGCCGAUAGUGACGCUGAGGCGCGAAUGCGUGGGUAGCGAACGGGAUUAGAUA